CAUUGAAGGGACUUAAGAGGGAAAACAGACAUCCAUACAACAGGAGAACGAAGGGCAUAUGGGGGACGGGAUAAAGCUAUUCUCCUUCUUUUCCGAGGGGUUAGAGAAGGAUAAAUGCUUACUAGACAUUCGCAGAAGACAAUCCCUAUCUCUUUUUUUCGAAUCUCUUGCAAACAAGCCCAACUUAAUCCCCAUUUUCUAGGGGGCUCUCCAAUUGACUGCUCUGGGGGUAUGAUCUUCGUGAAUAAAGAAGGCAAUAUCCAAUUUAUUGAGAAGGAGACUUCCUAAGAAUAGACACAUCAAUCCUUAUUUUCGGUAGUGUGUAGGUCCAAGUAAAUAAAAAAGUGACCCCGGAAAAAUAAGACUGGAGGGGCUCCCGGUCGAUAUGUAGGUCUCCAAGACUGGAACCGAAGUAAUGGAAGUUUGUGGAGUAGGGCGGGAAACUUUUCAGGGACUUCUUGAUAGAUGGAUAGAAGAGUGUGUCGAAGCAUGAAUUGACCUAGCGACGUGAACCUUGGGUGAGGUGCACUAGUGAGCGACCUCCUUCCCCAAUAAUGCCGCUAUCAUGCGCGAAGCGAAGCUUGAUAGGAGCCCGAGCUAAGAGAAUAGAGCAAACUCGACGUCACAAAACCAGGAAUAGAUCGUUCAAGGGAGCAACUCGAGAUAGAUGCAAGAUUCUUUCUCCUUUUCCGAGGAAGCAUGGUCAAGCGCGCAAGAAAAAAACUAAAGUAGGUUGGUUGAAGGCCUACUACCUACUUUUUUCAGUAUUUUUAAUCUCUCUUCGUGGGCGCUUAGGUUAGCUGUACUCUCGUGUAGCACUUAACGCUUGGUGGAAGGGCGCCUUAAAUAGAUCGAUGCUUGUUCGCUUCCUUAAUGAAGGCAAUUCCCUUCAAAACUCUUUAUUUCCGGACCUUGCCAUUAGUUAGCUGCAAGGAUUGUCGUAUGCUCAUCCCUUACUGAAAGUGGGAGAUCAGCGGCAUUGGUAAGCAUUCCGGUCUUAAGCCAAUCAGUCCGAGUAGGCAGAAAGCAUAGGGGCAUC
rnacentral:lncRNA from 1 species